UCACCUUAUUAUCUAACAAAAGCUUCUAAUGAAUAAGCAUGUUUUGGGAUGCAGUGGAGAUGAAGAAUAAGACAUUUCAGAAAAGGAUGCUACUAUGGAAGGGUCUGAGUCUUAGAAUCCUGAGUCCUACUGCAACCAUGUGUGGAAAUGCUGCAAAUCCACUAAGGAGAAGAGAGGAAAGACUGAAAGAACCUGGAUCAUUGUAACCUCACUGAGCUGCUCCAAACGGUCCUGACUAGGUUCAGGAUCUUCUCCAGGUUUGAGGAAUCUAUGGAUGAGAGAGUCCUUCAGAUAACAAUCCGUCCACAGCAUUUGCUGAUACAUCCGUGCCUCUGUUGUGAUACAUCACGAUACUCA